UGGGAACUUCCAUAUGCUGCAGGUGUGGCCCUAAAAAGCAAAAAAAAAAAAAAAGAAAGAAAAAGGCAUUUGUAUUUUUAUCAUUGAUAACUUCACAUGGGCAAAUAUAAUUCAGGGGAUGCUGGGACCAGAUCUAUUUUAGGAAGAUCCUUUUGGGAGGCAACAGGACAAUGGGAAGCGGGGGGAAGAGAUAGUUUGGAGGAUAUUAUGAUUAUACAAGGUGAGAACAGAGCAGUGGCUGAGAAGGGGAGGGCUGGGCAAGGGUGGAAGAGAUACUAGUGACUGAUUUGAUAUGUUCAUGUGGGAGAGGAGAGAUCACAGAUCGUCAGAGGUCCAGAGCCCCACAUGGGGAGGGAUUAAGCAAGAAAUAGAGUAGCUUUGAUCACAUUCUCAAAAACCAGGAAUGUGUCUCCAUAGAAAGGAAUGUGGAAAGCUAAGAAAUCACCAUCUCAGGCCUGAGAUGAGCAGGAAGAAGGAUGAGACUCAAAAAAAGUUAGAGGGUCCUAAUGUCGGGGUUGCUAAGUUGAUCAGACCUAGUGCCGUUCCAGACAAGGAAGAGGCCAAGAGCAUGGACACGGGAGUCCUGGAGUUUAGGCUUUCUGCUGGAAACAGCAAUCACCAAAUUUCAGUGGUUUAAUGCCGUAGAUGACUGCCUGCUCACGUCACUGUCGCCUACAGGAAGAGCAUGAGGAAGGGGCUCUGCUCAAAGCAGUUACUGAGGAUCCAGAGUCUUCUGCAUUCAGAGUGUACCUUUCCUGAGGUCCUCAGCAUCCUCUCAUUCAGCCAUGGGUCAGAAGAGAGAUUGUGUAAGGGCAAGUUUUAUGUGCCAGACUAAUGUCACUUCUACCCACUUUCUGCUGGUCAGAAUUGCAUCGUCUGGCUACAUCUACCCUCAAGGGAGCCCGGAGAUGGCACCUUGCUGUGGGUCCAGGAGAAAAUGGGAAAUGCUUGAGGAACAACUAGCUGAUCUCUGCUUCCCAAACUGUGUGUCCUGGGCAGGUGAUUCGACCUCUCAGAGGCUCAGUUUUCACAUCUGUAAAAUGGAAACAGCCACCUCACAGGUAGGAUGGUGGUUGUUCUGAUGUUUAGAGGAGAUUAUGUGUAUCACCCACUUAGCCUGACAUAUGUAAAUGAAUAACUAAUCACUGUAUGAAUAUUCAUACAGAUGCAUAGUGUGUACUCUUUGCUGGUGACCCUCUGAGAGUAAUCGUGGCGAUUUGUCUUUCUCUACCCACUCCAGGUCUACAUAGGCUGAGGAAAACUCAGUCUGCAUAUGACUGACCUGGAUCAUCCCGGCCCCAGAAAGUCUGGAGGGAAGCUGAAUGUUUGCUGUUCUGGGAUCAUUUGAAGCCGGGCAUGCAAAGAGUUCCGAGUCACUUUCAAGUCUGCCCGUAGGAAAUCUUUCUUGGCAACCAGACAACCAGAAUUAGUUAUUAAAGGCAUGUCAAAUGAAUAAAGACACCUCUGUGAGGAAAACCGCAA